rnacentral:rRNA from 1 species
CAACCCCUGUGAACAUACCAAUUGUUGCCUCGGCGGAUCAGCCCGCUCCCGGUAAAACGGGACGGCCCGCCAGAGGACCCCUAAACUCUGUUUCUAUAUGUAACUUCUGAGUAAAACCAUAAAUAAAUCAAAACUUUCAACAACGGAUCUCUUGGUUCUGGCAUCGAUGAAGAACGCAGCAAAAUGCGAUAAGUAAUGUGAAUUGCAGAAUUCAGUGAAUCAUCGAAUCUUUGAACGCACAUUGCGCCCGCCAGUAUUCUGGCGGGCAUGCCUGUUCGAGCGUCAUUUCAACCCUCAAGCCCAGCUUGGUGUUGGGACUCGCGAGUCAAAUCGCGUUCCCCAAAUUGAUUGGCGGUCACGUCGAGCUUCCAUAGCGUAGUAGUAAAACCCUCGUUACUGGUAAUCGUCGCGGCCACGCCGUUAAACCCCAACUUCUGAAUGUUGACCUCGGAUCAGGUAGGAAUACCCGCUGAACUUAAGCAUAUCAAUAAGCGGAGGA